AGAGUUUGAUCAUGGCUCAGAACGAACGCUGGCGGCAUGCCUAAUACAUGCAAGUCGAACGAAGGCUUCGGCCUUAGUGGCGCACGGGUGCGUAACGCGUGGGAAUCUACCCUUGGGUUCGGAAUAACAGUUAGAAAUGACUGCUAAUACCGGAUGAUGACGUAAGUCCAAAGAUUUAUCGCCCAAGGAUGAGCCCGCGUAAGAUUAGCUAGUUGGUGAGGUAAAGGCUCACCAAGGCUACGAUCUUUAGCUGGUCUGAGAGGAUGAUCAGCCACACUGGGACUGAGACACGGCCCAGACUCCUACGGGAGGCAGCAGUAGGGAAUAUUGGACAAUGGGCGAAAGCCUGAUCCAGCAAUGCCGCGUGAGUGAUGAAGGCCUUAGGGUUGUAAAGCUCUUUUACCCGAGAUGAUAAUGACAGUAUCGGGAGAAUAAGCUCCGGCUAACUCCGUG
rnacentral:rRNA from 1 species